rnacentral:rRNA from 1 species
AGUCGAGGGGCAGCACGGGUGCUUGCACUUGGUGGCGACCGGCGGACGGGUGCGUAACGCGUAUGCAACCUACCUUAUACAGGGAGAUAGCCCAGAGAAAUUUGGAUUAAUAUGCCAUAAUAUCAUAAAGCCACAUGGUUUAAUGAUUAAAGAUUUAUCGGUAUAAGAUGGGCAUGCGUAUGAUUAGCUAGUUGGUGAGGUAAUGGCUCACCAAGGCGACGAUCAUUAGGGGGCCUGAGAGGGUGAACCCCCACACUGGUACUGAGACACGGACCAGACUCCUACGGGAGGCAGCAGUGAGGAAUAUUGGGCAAUGGAGGCAACUCUGACCCAGCCAUGCCGCGUGUAGGAAGAAGGCGUUCUGCGUCGUAAACUACUUUUAUAUAGGAAUAAACCUCUCUACGUGUAGAGGGCUGAAUGUACUAUACGAAUAAGCACCGGCUAACUCCGUGCCAGCAGCCGCGGUAAUACGGAGGGUGCAAGCGUUAUCCGGAUUCAUUGGGUUUAAAGGGUCCGUAGGCGGCUAAAUAAGUCAGUGGUGAAAGCCUCCCGCUCAACGGGAGAACUGCCAUUGAAACUGUCUGGCUUGAAUCUAUUUGAA